rnacentral:rRNA from 1 species
AAAUGAAUUGACGGGGCCGCACAAGCGGUGGAGCAUGUGGUUAAUUCGAAGCAACGCGAAGAACCUUACCAGGUCUUGACAUCCCUGACAACCCGAGAGAUCGGGCGUUCCCCUUCGGGGGACAGGGUGACAGGUGGUGCAUGGUUGUCGUCAGCUCGUGUCGUGAGAUGUUGGGUUAAGUCCCGCAACGAGCGCAACCCUCGACCUUAGUUGCCAGCAUUCAGUUGGGCACUCUAAGGUGACUGCCGGCUAAAAGUCGGAGGAAGGUGGGGAUGACGCCAAAUCAUCAUGCCCCUUAUGACCUGGGCUACACACGUGCUACAAUGGGCGGUACAAAGGGUCGCGAACCCGCGAGGGGGAGCCAAUCCCAAAAAGCCGCUCUCAGUUCGGAUUGCAGGCUGCAACUCGCCUGCAUGAAGCCGGAAUCGCUAGUAAUCGCGGAUCAGCAUGCCGCGGUGAAUACGUUCCCGGGCCUU